rnacentral:tRNA from 1 species
GCGGGUAGAGCUUGGGGUAGAGCGUGUGCUUAGCACACAUGUGUCCUGGGUUCAAUCCCCAGCACCUCCA